CGUUAGCUGUCUGCAAUCUGCCAUUCUUAUCAUCGCACAUUUAAUGUGAUGAUGAAAUGACGCAUUUCUGUCAAGUCUCACC
rnacentral:ncRNA from 3 species